rnacentral:rRNA from 1 species
CCUACGGGUGGCAGCAGUGAGGAAUAUUGGUCAAUGGACGAGAGUCUGAACCAGCCAAGUAGCGUGAAGGAUGACUGCCCUAUGGGUUGUAAACUUCUUUUAUAUGGGAAUAAAACGUUCCACGUGUGGGAUUUUGUAUGUACCAUAUGAAUAAGGAUCGGCUAACUCCGUGCCAGCAGCCGCGGUAAUACGGAGGAUCCGAGCGUUAUCCGGAUUUAUUGGGUUUAAAGGGAGCGUAGGUGGAUUGUUAAGUCAGUUGUGAAAGUUUGCGGCUCAACCGUAAAAUUGCAGUUGAAACUGGCAGUCUUGAGUACAGUAGAGGUGGGCGGAAUUCGUGGUGUAGCGGUGAAAUGCGUAGAUAUCACGAAGAACUCCGAUUGCGAAGGCAGUUCACUGGACUGCAACUGACACUGAGGCACGAAAGUGUGGGUAUCAAACAGGAUUAGAUACCCCAGUAGUC